UAGAUAAUGUAAUAGUAUUAUUAAUCAGUAAUUACAGAAUACCUAUUAACAAUGUUAAUAAUUAAUCAGUGGUAUCACAGUAUUGGUAGUCAGAGGAAUUCUUUGUGUGUGUCUUGAGGAGGAUCUGAAUUACAUGGAUGAGUGGUGUACAACAAAGAGCACAUCCUGGCAUUAGGGAGGGGGCCAGGAGGGUGGUAUAACAAGUAGAGAAGAAGCAGAAAAGAGCAAGUGUAUGCUUACAUUCACACAACCUGCAGGCUUUAAGGAUUUCCUAGAAACUUCACAAUCAAGAGAAAAAAGGUCAUGUCCACUAUAACAGCCCAGCCUUUACCCUAUGGUCUGGAAAGAGAAAAACACAUUGAGAUGCUUUUCAGAGCUUUCCACCAGAGGUGGAGUACCUCCAUGAACCCCCAGGACCUCAUUGCUACUCCAGCACCAACACAAGGUUCCCUCUAUGGGCAUCUAUCACCCACAUUUGAGGCUUCACACUUGGACACAAAUAGGCAAAAAGGAGAGCAGUGGGCCACAGAGACACUACCGGCAGGUCUGGCUGCUCUGAGAACAGUCAACCAAAUACACAUAACUGCUAUACCUGAGCUUCAGGGUCCUCAGUGCAUUUACCGCAGGAUGUACAGUAUUGCUGCAGAAACCAAGCAACUCUUUCUGGCUGUGGAAGAGAGCUCUUGUGUUUGUAUGCAGUGCUGUGGGCCUGCUCGCACCUGCACUUUGCAGGGUUUUGACCAGGAUCGUCAGAAGAUGUUUGUAUUUGAAAGGCCACUUAGAGCAGAUAUGUGCUGUCUAGGCUGCUGCCUGAUGGAGAUGAGGGCUUACACAGCCCAGGGGGAGCUCAUUGGCACUGUCCACCAGAGGUGGAGUAUGUUCACACCAUACUUUGAGGUGUGUGACUCUGCAGACUCUCCCUUCUUAUGGAUACAAGGCUCCUGCUGUCCGAUCCGUUGCCUCUCUGACCAGGAGUUUCAGGUCAGAUGUCUCAUACUAGGUCAAAUCAAACCUUCUUAUCUGGAUUAUCUCUUCUUUACUCUUUUCGGUGAAGGUUUUAUAUAUAUAGCUGGAAAUAAUUCAAGUUUUAAACCCAUGGAAUGAAGAAUGAAUCUAAGUAUAAAUCAUAAAACAGUUGUAUAACAACAAAUCAAGAAAACAAACACAUGAACAAGCCUGGUGUCCAUCAUUCCAAUUCAUCCCAAUGAUGUUCAGUGAGAUUGAGGUCAGGAGUUCUUCCACAUCAAACUUGGCAAACCAUGUCUUUAUGGAUCUUGCUUAGUGUACAAAGGCAUUGUCAUACUGGAACAGGUUUGGGCUAGCCAAAUGUACAAAAACAUUUUAGACAAUUCAUUGCUUACAACUUUGCAGCAACAGUUUUACAAAGACCUUCAUAGAGGUUUUAUUGUAAAGUGUUUACAUAUUUUUGCCCAUAUAGUGUUGCUUUUUCAGGUAGAAAACCGAACCACUUUCCAACCUCAUCUGCAGGUAGUUAUGUAAACACUAGUUACAUACAUAACUGCGAUUCCAUGAUCUGGUCUGCUUGUAUUCACCCUUCAAUAAUACUGACACAUAGUACGUAAUAUUAAUACUAUUGUCAUGUGGCUGCCAUCCUUGGAGAUUCCUGCAAAGCUCUAGACAAGCUCAAAGUGCUUUUUUAAAUAUACAUGCAUACUCGUGCUGAGACUAUUUCACUAUUUUGUUCAUGGUGUAAUAAAGAGGAUGAAAUUCUAGAUGACAAAAUUAACAUGGUCCUCUACAGUAUGUCCACAUGUCCACAUCAUACAAUCAUUCCAGCUCUGCUAUAGGACAAGUUCUCCAAGCUGAGUGUGUCUGAAUCCACCUGUAGGUGGAUCACAGACUUCUUGAUUGACAGGAGGCAGCAUGUGAUUCUGGGAAAACAUGUCUCUGACUCCUGGACCAUAAGUACUGGUUCCCCCCAAAGCUGUGUUCUUUCUCCUCUACUCUUCUCCCUGUGCACCAACAGCUGCAACUCGCCAAUCUGUCAAAAUACUGAAGUUUGCGAAACAACAUCACCCUCAUUGAGCUCAUCUCUGAAGUAGAUGAGUCUACCUACAGACCAACUUGUGACCUGGUGCAGUCCUAACAACCUGAAGCUCAAAGCUGUGAGAACAGUGGAGAUGGUUGUAGACAUUAGGAAGAGCCCAACCCUGUCCGCACCCAUCAUCCUGUGUGAUUCCCUAGUCAAUACUAAGGACUUCUUCAGCUUCCUAGGAAUCAUCACCCAGGAUCUCAAGUGAGUGCUGCACAUUAACUGUUUUAUUACAAAGCGCACCAGCAAAUGUAAAUCCUGCAGCGGCUAAAGAAGUUCAACCUACCAAAGGCAUUGAUGAUGUACUUCUACACCUCCAAUUAUUGAGUCCAUACUCACCUCUUUCAUCAACAUUUGGUAUGCUGCUUCCACUGCCAAGGAUAAAAACAGACUGCAGAAUGUCAUUUGCGAUUAGUGAAUGGCUGCAAUCUGCCACCUUUCCAGGACCCUGAAGCAGGCAGUUAAGACCCCUCUCACACUGGGCGUAAUCUACAGUAAGCCUAAACCUUUGCCAAUCUAGUACUUUUAGAGGGGGCUGUAGAAAAUGACAAUAAAUCUCAAAACUAUUACCUAAUUACAAAAUUAGCUAUAUUAAUUACUGACAUUACUUUUGAUUAACUGCAAAGCAAAUGAUUUUAAGGUUGUUCAAUUGUAUGCUAAAAUGUAAAUUUGAAAAAAAAAAUGCCUAUAAUUUAAAUCUGAUAUGGCAUGAAAUAAGGAUAAUAAAACUGUUGGUGCAAGUGUCAUAAACACACAAACUUUCAUAAACAUAAAGAUUUAUUGAUCUCAUGUAAGAUUUGACCAUGCACAGCUGUGAUGACUAAAGCUUUGGUCUCAGUUUUGUAGGUCAGAAUUAAGACACAUUUCCACAAACAUGCUCCUGUACAUCUACAAAUCUUCCAAUGGAACUGAACACAGCUCGCUUUUGCUGGAAAGGUUGGAAUGGAACCUUUAGGAGCAGAUUUGAAACUAAAGCAUGUAGACAGGUUGUCUCCAUGAUCGGUGAUCACAUUGGGACAAUAUGGAAAAAGUGGCCAGGCUACAAUGUUGAAAGCUGCAACAUGGACCAUGAACAUUUUGGGUUGGAUGUUUCUCAGAACAUGAAUGUGAAUA